rnacentral:rRNA from 1 species
UGGGGAAUAUUGGACAAUGGGCGCAAGCCUGAUCCAGCCAUGCCGCGUGAGUGAUGAAGGCCCUAGGGUUGUAAAGCUCUUUCACCGGUGAAGAUAAUGACGGUAACCGGAGAAGAAGCCCCGGCUAACUACGUGCCAGCAGCCGCGGUAAUACGUAGGUGGCGAGCGUUAUCCGGAUUUACUGGGCGUAAAGGGCGUGUAGGCGGCUAGAUAAGUGUGAUGUUUAAAUCCAAGGCUUAACCUUGGGGUUCAUUACAAACUGUUUAGCUUGAGUGCUGGAGAGGAUAGUGGAAUUCCUAGUGUAGCGGUAAAAUGCGUAGAUAUUAGGAGGAACACCGGUGGCGAAGGCGGCUAUCUGGACAGUAACUGACGCUGAGGCGCGAAAGCGUGGGGAGCAAACAGG